GAAUUCACUAGUGAUUCAGGCCUAACACAUGCAAGUCGAGCGGGGUUUUCGGACCUAGCGGCGGACGGGUGAGUAAUGCGUAGGAAGCUACCCGAUAGAGGGGGAUACCAGUUGGAAACGACUGUUAAUACCGCAUAAUGUCUACGGACCAAAGUGUGGGACCUUCGGGCCACAUGCUAUCGGAUGCGCCUACGUGGGAUUAGCUAGUUGGUGAGGUAAUGGCUCACCAAGGCGACGAUCCCUAGCUGGUUUGAGAGGAUGAUCAGCCACACUGGAACUGAGACACGGUCCAGACUCCUACGGGAGGCAGCAGUGGGGAAUAUUGGACAAUGGGCGCAAGCCUGAUCCAGCCAUGCCGCGUGUGUGAAGAAGGCCUUCGGGUUGUAAAGCACUUGCAGUAGGGAGGAAGGGUGUUGUGUUAAUAGCACAGCAUUUGACGUACCUACAGA
rnacentral:rRNA from 1 species